CACGUAGGGGGCGAGCGUUGUCCGGAUUUAUUGGGCGUAAAGAGCUCGUAGGUGGUUCGGUAAGUCGGGUGUGAAACCUCCAGGCUCAACCUGGAGACGCCACCCGAUACUGCUGUGACUAGAGUCCAGUAGGGGAGCGUGGAAUUCCUGGUGUAGCGGUGAAAUGCGCAGAUAUCAGGAGGAACACCAGUGGCGAAGGCGGGUCUCUGGACAGUUCCUGACGCUGAGGCACGAAGGCCAGGGGAGCAAACGGG
rnacentral:rRNA from 1 species